GCCAGGCACGGUGGCUUGUGCCUGUAGUCCCAGCUACUCGGGAGGCUGAGGGUGGAGGAUCGCAUGAGUCCAGGAAUUCUGGGCUGUAGUGCACUAUGCCAAUCGGGCGUCCGCACUAAGUUUGGCAUCAAUAUGGUGACCUCCCAGGAGUGGGGGACCACCAGGUUGCUUAAGGAGAGGUGAACCGGCCCAGGUCGGAAACGGAGCAGGUCAAAACUCCCGUGCUGAUCAGUAGUGGGAUCGCGCCUGUGAAUAGCCAUUGCACUCCAGCCUGGGCAACAUAGCAAGACCCCGUCUCUG
rnacentral:SRP_RNA from 1 species